GCCUCCGUAGCUUAAUGGAUAGAGCAGCGGUCUUCGGAACCGCUGAUGGGGGUUCGAUUCCCUCCGGAGGCG
rnacentral:tRNA from 1 species